rnacentral:rRNA from 1 species
GGAAUCUUCCACAAUGGACGCAAGUCUGAUGGAGCAACGCCGCGUGAGUGAAGAAGGUUUUCGGAUCGUAAAGCUCUGUUGUUGGUGAAGAAGGAUAGAGGCAGUAACUGGUCUUUAUUUGACGGUAACCAACCAGAAAGUCACGGCUAACUACGUGCCAG